rnacentral:rRNA from 1 species
GACGAACGCUGGCGGCGUGCCUAAUACAUGCAAGUAGAACGCUGAAGGAGGAGCUUGCUCUUCUGGAUGAGUUGCGAACGGGUGAGUAACGCGUAGGUAACCUGCCUGGUAGCGGGGGAUAACUAUUGGAAACGAUAGCUAAUACCGCAUAACAGUAGGUGUUGCAUGACAUUUACUUAAAAGGUGCAAUUGCAUCACUACCAGAUGGACCUGCGUUGUAUUAGCUAGUUGGUGGGGUAACGGCUCACCAAGGCGACGAUACAUAGCCGACCUGAGAGGGUGAUCGGCCACACUGGGACCGAGACACGGCCCAGACUCCUACGGGAGGCAGCAGUAGGGAAUCUUCGGCAAUGGACGGAAGUCUGACCGAGCAACGCCGCGUGAGUGAAGAAGGUUUUCGGAUCGUAAAGCUCUGUUGUAAGAGAAGAACGAGUGUGAGAGUGGAAAGUUCACACUGUGACGGUAUCUUACCAGAAAGGGACGGCUAACUACGUG